rnacentral:rRNA from 1 species
UACAGAGGGGGCAAGCGUUGUUCGGAAUUACUGGGCGUAAAGGGCUCGUAGGUGGCCACCUAGGUCGGCCGUGAAAUCCCCAGGCUCAACUUGGGAACUGCGUCUGAUACUGGAUGGCUUGAAUUCGGGAGAGGGAUGCAGAAUUCCAGGUGUAGCGGUGAAAUGCGUAGAUAUCUGGAGGAAUACCGGUGGCGAAGGCGGCAUCCUGGACCGAUAUUGACACUGAUGAGCGAAAGCUAGGGGAGCAAACGGG